GGGAAGGUAAAUCACAUUUUUUUGUGACAGUUAAUGCAUUUGACUACUUUUACUGUAAAUAUAACCCCAUGGUUUUAUUAAAAAAUAAAUUGAAAACCCCAUUUCAUGGUGUCAGACCAUUAAAAAAUCUUUGUUCUGAUUGGACAGGGUAAAAAAUAUGAUUAAAAAUGCAAUUUUAUUAGAUGUAAAAACCCAAAUGAAUAAGUAGACAUUUAUAAUAUCCAUGUAUACUGUAUUGGGUUGUAGGUUACCAUUAUUUACCCUCUAUGAAUGGAACCAGAUUUGCUUUGCUGUCGCAAUAACAUACUCAAUGUAAAAAAAAUCACAAUUGUAACAAGUACUUAAAAUUGCUGUUCCACUGGUUGUAAGAAGACAAAAAUCAAUUAAUCCUUCAUUUUUUCCCCAACAUAACAAAAUGUAGUUCAGUAACAAAUUGUUUUUAUGUAUUUAUUUAUGUGAAUAUAGGAUAUUUGUCAUCAGAUUUUAUUGUUAGUAAUAAGGUGAUAAAUUACAAUGGUAUUUAUAUAAUUUGUGAGGCUCAAUUAUUGUUUGCUCAAUUGGGCAAUAUCUGUUUGCCCAAAAAAUGUACUAAUUUGCGCCACAACCUAUUUGCACCAAUGCUUCUUCUGCACCACUUAGUUUUAAAAUCUAUAUGUAUCAUUUGUG
rnacentral:lncRNA from 1 species